GGAAUUUUCCGCAAUGGGCGAAAGUCUGACGGAGCGACGCUGCGUGAAGGAUGACGGCCCGCGGGUUGUAAACUUCUUUUCUCGAAGAAGAAUCAAUGACGGUAUUCGAGGAAGAAGCACCGGCUAACUACGUGCCAGCAGCCGCGGUAAUACGUAGGGUGCAAGCGUUGUUCGGAAUCGCUGGGCGUAAAGGGCGUGUAGGCGGAACGAUUAGCGAGGGGUGAAAUCCCGGGGCUCAACCCCGGAACUGCUCUUCGAACUGUCGAUCUAGAGAAGGUCAGGGGCCGGCGGAAUUCCUGGUGUAGAGGUGAAAUUCGUAGAGAUCAGGAGGAACAUCGGAGGCGAAGGCGGCCGGCUGGGGCCAUUCUGACGCUGAGGCGCGAAAGCGUGGGGAGCAAACAGGAUUAGAUACCCCAGUAGUC
rnacentral:rRNA from 1 species